CCGACUCCGGCCUCUACGAGUGCCAGGUGUCCACGCAGCCCAAGAUAUCCCGCCGCUUCAGGCUCAGCGUUGUGGGUUCCCGACAUACUUCCCCUUCCGGAAGAUCUCGCCUCUGAGAUCUCACAGGUUUUGGUGGAGAAGAUACGCCUUGCAAUGUCUGCAGUUGGCUCGAGUCUGGAAGGAGGCGGCAUUGUGCGUACCGCAGGACAUAGGAAUACCCAACGGCAGACGUCACCAGCAGAAGAACCAGGAUGACGACAAUGGCGAAGACAAUCCACCAAUGGAUUGCGGAUUGGAAGGGCUGUUCCGGCUCGACCACAGAAUUGAGGGGCUGCAAGCCAGCUGUUAGCUCCUGUAGGGGGAUAGACUCAGCACUGCGAAGAGAACCUUGCCGAAGCGUCAAUAUACCACUACCCGUCAAGCUGACAGUAUGUCUGUUUACAGGAUUGGUAUGGCAUGUGAGUGUCAGAAUGAUGGGGGAGGCAAGUGAACAGGUCCAGUAGCCAGGACCUUUUAUAAACAUAGGGGGAAAUGUUUUCAAGACUAUUGUGUGGCAGAGUUUUUUUUUUUUUUUUUUUUUUCACUGACUCAUGAUUCAAGAAAGCAGCCGAUUCACAAGAGGCUGCGUGACUAGUCUCAUAGACGGGGCCUGUGGGAGGACAAACUAACAUAUGGUUAUUCUUGUUACUGUGUUCCAUACUAGAAAGCAGAAAAUAUAUUUUCCUAUUAUCAUGAAGGCAAUAUAUCGUGAAUCAACACUAUACAUAAGAAAGUAAGUGCUAUUCUGCACAGAAAAUGGAAGGGAGUCGAUUCGAAAGACAUCAAAGGUGUCAUGCGGAUCUCCUCGUAAAGGUUUGGUGAGACAGAAAUUACGAGAAUCGUGCAAAACCUAGGCUUCCUUUAAUGUGCUGAACAACUGUUUGUCUCACAUAAUGGUUGGAGUUAUGUAUGUUUGCAGGGGAGCCUGCAGACUCAACUUUAAAUCUUGUAUACCUGGUCUCAUGUGUCUCUAUGCUAAGUCAAAAUACAACAAUGAUUGUA